GGGGGUGUAGCUCAGCUGGGAGAGCACCUGCCUUGCAAGCAGGGGGUCAGGAGUUCGAGUCUCCUCAUCUCCACCA
rnacentral:tRNA from 1 species